AACGAACGCUAUCGGUAUGCUUAACACAUGCAAGUCGGACGGACUAAUUAGGGCUUGCUCCCAUUAGUUAGUGGCAGACGGGUGAGUAACACGUGGGAAUCUGCCCAUCAGUACGGAAUAACUUUUAGAAAUAAAAGCUAAUACCGUAUAUUCUCUACAGAGGAAAGAUUUAUCGCUGAUGGAUGAGCCCGCGUCAGAUUAGGUAGUUGGUGAGGUAACGGCUCACCAAGCCGACGAUCUGUAGCUGGUCUGAGAGGAUGAUCAGCCACACUGGGACUGAGACACGGCCCAGACUCCUACGGGAGGCAGCAGUGGGGAAUAUUGGACAAUGGGCGAAAGCCUGAUCCAGCAAUACCGAGUGAGUGAUAAAGGCCCUAGGGUUGUAAAGCUCUUUUAGCAAGGAAGAUAAUGACGUUACUUGCAGAAAAAGCCCCGGCUAACUCCGUGC
rnacentral:rRNA from 1 species